rnacentral:rRNA from 1 species
UUUGCCCUAGUACGGCGAGUGAACAGGCAAGAGCUCAGAUUUGAAAGGCACUUUUGUGCCGUUGUAUUCUGAAGUUAGGGUCCUGAGAAACGAUGCUUAAGUCUUCUGGAAAGGAGCGCCAUGGAGGGUGAUAGCCCCGUCUAGCAUUGACCUCAUAUAGGAUCUUAACAUGGAGUCGAGUUGUUUGGGAAUGCAGCUCAAAUGGGUGGUAUGCUCCAUCUAAAGCUAAAUAUCUGCGAGAGACCGAUAGUAAACAAGUACUGUGAGGGAAAGAUGAAAAGAACUUUGAAAAGAGAGUGAAAAAGUACGUGAAAUUGUUGAAAUGGAAGGGUAGGCCGCUAACCAUGUAGAGCCGUGUUUGGGGGGAAGAUAAAUGCUGUAGAAUGUAGCUCCUCGGAGUAUUAUAGAUGCAGUUCAUAUUCCCACCCGAGCGCGAGGAUCUCAGGUUCUACUAAAUGGUGGUCUACCACCCGUCUUGAAACACGGACCAAGGAGUCUAUUGUCUGCGCGAGUAUUUGGGUGUCAAACCCAUAUGCGAAGUGAAAGCGAAAGGUUCUAACCUUCGGGUUCAGAAUCGGCCGACCGUUUAUAGAAGCGGAUUGAGUAGAGCGUGGAUGAUGGGACCCGAAAGAUGGUGAACUAUGCCUGAAUAGGGUGAAGCCAGAGGAAACUCUGGUGGAGGCUCGCAGCGGUUCUGACGUGCAAAUCGAUCGUCAAAUUUGGGUAUAGGGGCGAAAGACUAAUCGAACCAUCUAGUAGCUGGUUCCUGCCGAAGUUUCCCUCAGGAUAGCAGAAGCUCGUAUCAGUUUUAUGGGGUAAAGCGAAUGAUUAGAGGUAUUGGGACUGAAAUGGUCUUGACCUAUUCUCAAACUUUGAAUAUGUAAAACGUCCUUGUUACUUAAGUGAACUUGGACUCUUGAAUGAAGAGCUUUUAGUGGGCCAUUUUUGGUAACAAAAA